UACGAAGGGGGGCUAGCGUUGCUCGGAAUCACUGGGCGUAAAGCGCACGUAGGCGGAUAUUUAAGUCAGGGGUGAAAUCCCAGAGCUCAACUCUGGAACUGCCUUUGAUACUGGGUAUCUCGAGUAUGGAAGAGGUGAGUGGAAUUCCGAGUGUAGAGGUGAAAUUCGUAGAUAUUCGGAGGAACACCAGUGGCGAAGGCGGCUCACUGGUCCAUUACUGACGCUGAGGUGCGAAAGCGUGGGGAGCAAACAGG
rnacentral:rRNA from 1 species